GCGAAAGGUAGCAAUACCGACGUAGACGUGGUCGCACGGGUGAGUAACACGUAGCUAACUUCCCCUCUACAGCUGGGGACAACUCCGGGAAACCGGAGCUAAUACCGAAUAAUCUGAACUGGUCUGCAGGACCGGAUUCGGUAAAAGCCUUCGGGCGCGACGACGGACUAGGGACUGCGGCCUAUUAACCUUGUUAGGUAGGGUAAUGGCCUACCAAGGAUGACGAUAGGUAGCUGGUCUGAGAGGACGACCAGCCACACUGGAACUGACACACGGUCCAGACUCCCACGGGAGGCAGCAGUUGGGAAUAUUGGACAAUGGGCGCAAGCCUGAUCCAGCCAUGCCGCGUGAGGGAUGAAGGCUUUCGGGUCGUAAACCUCUUUAUAGCAGGGACAAAGGGAAACUUGAUAGGUACCUGCAGAAAAAGCACCGGCUAACUCCGUGCCAGCAAGACGCGGUAAUACGGAGGGUGCAAGCGUUGAUACGGAAUUAUAGGGCGUAAAGCGCGUGUAGGCGAGCAUCUCUAAGUCUGGUGUGAAAUCCACGGAGCUUAACUCACGAGAACUGCACUGGAUACUGGAAAGCUAGAGGGACGAGAGAGGAUGGUGGAAUACCUGGUGUAGGGGUGAAAUACCGUAGAAUA
rnacentral:rRNA from 1 species